GUGCUGGCUUUGGCAGCACAUGUACUAAAAUUGGAAUGAUACAGAGAAGAUUAGCAUGGAAUGAACAUGAAUUGGGUAUGAACAUGAAUUUGAUAUCUGUU
rnacentral:snRNA from 1 species